rnacentral:lncRNA from 1 species
CAGCCAAAUCUGAACCCACAAAACCAGUGUCUACCACAGCCAAGCCAAAACCUACAACCACACUUCCAACCACAACCACAGCCAAGCCACCACCCAUAGCCACACUCCCAGCCACAGCCAAGCCCAAAGCCCCAGCACAGGCACCCUUCAGCACAGCCAAGCCAAAACCUGCCAGCACGCUUCCAACAACAACCCCCACCAGGCCAAGACCCACAGCACCAGCAGCCCCCACAGCCAUGGCCAAGCCAAAACCCACUAUGCCAGCAGCCACCAGCACUGCAGCCAAGCCAAAGCCCACCACAACUAUGGCCAAGCCAAUACCCACCACACCAAAACCCACCCUAACAACCACCACCACUAAGCCAACAACCACCACUGCCACCAAGACAUCACCCACCCCCCUGAAACCCAACACAACCACCACCACCACCAAGCCAACACCCACCACACCAAAACCCAUCACAACCACCACCAAACCAACGCCCACCACACCAACAUCUACCACCACUACAGCCAAGGCAACGCCUGCUGCUACAACACUAGCACCUGCCACAACAGCAAAGACACAACUGAAAACUGCCACAACCACAAAGCCAGAAGCAGAAAGACCUGAUCCUACUGAGGCAACCGGGAUCACUCUUUCCUUUGAGCCCACCCUAGACCCAGAUUACAAUAUAUCUCCAGAGGCAGACACUGGAGAGCCUUUUAGCUCCUUCACUACAGAGGAUCCAGCCUUAUUAGAAAGCAUGGGCACAGCCUUCAGCCCCAGAUCAGUCCCAGAAAUAAAGAAAGGUGUCAAAGAGCAUGGGAAAGAGAAAUCAGUCUUUCCCAGUCCGUCUCCAUCCCUCAGCCAAGCUGUUCCAGAGAUGAAGCUAGGUUUCAAUAGAGCUGAGCUCAUAACCCCCUCCAAGUCAGUGGUCCUCAGCCCUGAAGAGCCCACGUUCUUGCAUUUAACAUCAUCCUCCAAAGACAAAAAAGGGUCGAGCCCCCAUUUCCAGACAUCCCUCUCAGCAGGUGCCCUGGACACAGAAGAACUGGAGAC